GCCUGGUUGUAAUGAAGUCAGUGUAAACAGGAAAAGGAGGACGGUUGAAGAUGGUGAUGAGGGUAGGUUUUCCUUGAAAAACACAAAGUGAGGCGAAGUCAAUCAUGUUCCUGAGAAUCCAGAAAACUAUGAUGAUGAUGCACUAGAAGACCAAAGAUGUGUCCUGGUGGAUGCAAUGAAAAAGUAGACAUCUGACAUUGCCCCGCAUCGGAGGUGUCUGUUGAAGGGCUACCAAUAUUUGUUCGAGACAAUUCAAAGAAGCUUUUCCUGACAUGCUUGGACACCGAUUUAGAUGAAAGGGAGACCAAAGGUGUCAAGAUGGGUAUCCUCACUGUCCUCGGAGAUGAUGAUGCAUCUGCCUCUCUGCCCACAGACAACAGUAUUGCCAUCGUGCUGGAAGAGUCCAUUGUCCUCGCAGAUCUCCCAGACUUCCCCACUGCAUUUGCCUAUCUUUUCGGCCUGGUUUAUGCAUUGAACAUGGAGUUCCCCAAAGACCAAAAGUACAUAUUUGAAACUAUUCAACACAUCUUAAUGGAGUUUCUUACAGCAUGUCAGGAGCAUGAAAACUAAGCUAUUGCUGUCAUAAGUGCUUAGGUUGGAAGCUGGUCUUUUUUAUUUUUCAGUUUUAUUGAUUGGCUGGCUGGCCUGAUUGGCCUAUCUGACAUUUCA